UUUGGAGGGGUUGGAUUGGCAUCUGCGUCCUCCCCUUCCUCGCCCAUGUCCACAUCAUCAUCCGCGCGUUCGUCCUCAUGCUCCCAAUCCUCCCCCUUCACUUGCUUAUCCACCUGCAACCACACCACAAGUUUACAUUGCUGGUGCCACUCAUGCAGUUGGGGAAAGUCCAUAUGCUUGCCUGUCACACCAUGACAAGGCCCCUGAAAUUUGUCAGGAGUUUACAGCAGUGUCCAAAGGAGGUUCAGUUUGAAGCUUACAGCGGUGUCCAAAGCACUGAAGGAGGUUCGAAUUGAAGCUUACAGCGGUGUCCAAAGCACUGAAAGGGGGUUCAAAUUGAGGCUUACAGCGACAUCGGUCCCCUCAUCAGCUUCGCCCUUGGGCUGCCCGUUGCGUCCGGGGGCGCCACUUGCUCCGCCUCGGGCCCCCCUCGACAUGAAGUCAUCUUCAUCCUCUUCAUCCCUCUCGGAGCCUGACGACGCAUCGUCAGCCACCGUGCCACCCUUCUCAUCCGCU
rnacentral:lncRNA from 1 species